rnacentral:rRNA from 1 species
CCUACGGGUGGCAGCAGUGAGGAAUAUUGGUCAAUGGACGCAAGUCUGAACCAGCCAUGCCGCGUGCAGGAAGACGGCUCUAUGAGUUGUAAACUGCUUUUGUACGAGGGUAAACGCAGAUACGCGUAUCUGUCUGAAAGUAUCUUACGAAUAAGGAUCGGCUAACUCCGUUCCAGCAGCCGCGGUAAUACGGAGGAUUCAAGCGUUAUCCGGAUUUAUUGGGUUUAAAGGGUGCGUAGGCGGUCGGAUAAGUUAGAGGUGAAAGCCUGAGGCUCAACUUCGGAAUUGCAUCUGAUACUGGCCGGCUAGAGAGUAGUUGAGGUAGGCGGAAUGUAUGGUGUAGCGGUGAAAUGCUUAGAGAUCACACAGAACACCGAUUGCGAAGGCAGCUUACCAAGCUACCUCUGACGUUGAGGCACGAAAGUGUGGGGAGCAAACAGGAUUAGAUACCCGAGUAGUC